rnacentral:tRNA from 3 species
GGAGAGAUGACCGAGUGGUUGAAGGUGCACGCCUGGAAAGCGUGUGUAGGGGCAACUCUACCGAGGGUUCGAAUCCCUCUCUCUCCGCCA